GGUCCUAUACAAUCAACUAGUCAUUAACCUAGCAGGGCCUCUCGGCCUUCCACUAACCUAAUGAGUCGGCAAAAACUACUUAUCUUUCGACCUAACAAUCCAAACCAGAUUUGGGUUAGGUUUUCACAUAUAGGGAAUACCAAUUUUGGGUUGAUUCCCAGCUAUUAGACUUCCUAGGGUCGUCAAGCCUAUCUCUCAUUAACGAAUUAGUUCCCUAUGGAUUUAACAAACAUCGUAAACUUGAGUAAAAAGAUAAAAAACUAAAAAGACAAAUAUUAGAAAUAAAUCAAGAAGAGAGUUUAGAAAAAUUAUGAUAUAUUAAUAGUAGUGCGAACAAUAAUUAGCCAAAUAGUUUAGUGAAUCGACAAUCUGAAUUCCACGAAGAACGAAAUAAACUAACUAGAAUCACAAUUAAAUAGAAACAGGAAUUACAAAUAGAGAAUAAAACUAAGUAGGAAACAAAAAAUAAAAAUUAAGUAAAAUUGUUCAUAAACUAAGCAGAGCAAUCCAAUUUAUAGCCCUAGGGUUGUCCAUCGGUUCUUGACCUAAUUUGGCUGACUAUUUCUUGCUAAAAUUUGUUGUGUGGACGAAAACACCUUUGACUCAUUAAUUGGCCUCGUCACAUCGGUGUCGAAACACCCUAUAGCCUAUUUUGCUACACUGAUUGCAGUAUACUAGUCUUGGGCAUGUCUUCAGGGCUUUUUCGCAACACUCUCUGGCUCGAAGGUAGUCUGCUCCUUUUGAAUACUUUGUUCACUAGGUUGCGACAUCGAAACUCCUUAUUGUAACAUCGUGGGCAGUCUACUAUUUAAAAUAAAUAGUUCAAUGUCUGAGUUGAUGCUUUGCAUGUCAGGUCUAGUCUUAGUUAUGAGGGUUACCUAAACUGUAUAAGACAAAAGGAGUGAGCUUAUGAAAGCUCAGUGUGAGUCAACUUAAGAUACAAUCAGAAAAAUAAUCAAAAGCGUAUAACAAUCAUCAAAAUCAUUUUAGAUUAGUACAUGGAAAAACAAAUCAGUGUAUGAGCAUGUAAUAUGUAUGAUGCGAUGCAAAAAGAUUCCUACCCAACCAUCCGCUACACACCACAAGUUCCCCAAAACCCGUCUACAAAACUCCAAAUAGUGGGAGACAAAGCUCGACGUGGAUAAACCACCAAUCAUUAAUGUAGAUAAGCUGACAGUAAAAUACAGACAAGCUGCCGGUAAUGUGGACUUGCCACCAAUGUCAGCAAUGCAGUUAAACUGCCAAUAAUGUGAUUAAAUCACUCAAUCUUUCGAUACUCUAGGUGCAGUAUACUGACUCAAUAUUGCAGACUUUAAUUACUAUCGGCACUGAACAGAACUCCUCUGUCAUCAACAAAACCAAACCCAAUGCAAAUGCAAAAUUUCAUAUUAUUAAAACUAGUGGAAUAUGAACAUGCUUUCAAUAAAUUUAGUGCCAUGCAUAAAAUGUAACAUAAACACCCACAUAACAAUAUCAGUCAUGGCUACUUCACAAGCACAUCAAAAAGUAUCUCAAUUUUUAGCAUGUUUUCCAUGCGUCCAAUGAUUAAUAUUCAUCACGCGUUAAACAAUAUGGAGUAUUUCACAACAUACAUAAAAUCGACCAAAAUAAUGGCACAUACUCAUGCAGUGUAUACAUCUUAUACACAAUCAUACAAUCACAAAUAGGGCCUCUAACAAUCAGCUUUACCAUUUAAGUACAUACCUUGCUCGAUAAUUUUUUUAUAUGUUUUUAGGCCAUUCGACCAUGCCACAUCCAGCAAGCAUAUAUUACCAAUUUUUAAUCAUAAAAUAUUAAUCUAAGGCUAAUUACACAAAAGAAAGACCUACACCUUAGUUUCGAAGCCCACAGCACUAAACUGUAAAAUCCGCACUUUCGCUUUUAAGCCUUAAAUGAACCUAAAUAUAGAAAAAAGCAUUUAGCACUUCAAAAUAAGGUUAAUGAACAACCUUGAAACACCCCUAAAGGUUAGACCAAAGAGGUGUUAGGAGCACAAAUUUUUAGAUUUUAAAUAUUGAGCGUACUUACACUGAUUUGAUGCGAAACGGAUAUGCGAACGAGAUCCGACUUUACUACUGCUCCAGGAUGUUUCGAUCAGCACCUAUGAUUAAAAUAUUACUCAAAAUAAGUAACCCAUAACCAAUUAAAGACCUUAGAUCAAUUGGCCAAAACAACGACCAUUAACAAAAUAAAAUUGACAUAAGAGUUCGCUUAAAUCCGUAUUUUCACUUGAACAUUAAUGUUCUCACUGUUACUAUACUUGAGAUGUCGAUUGAACAAGACCGGAUGCACUUUCAAUUGGCAAGGUUAGGGGUUGUAUUAACAGUGGAAAAAGUGAGGAAAACCAAUAAUGUGGUGCAGCAAAAGGAACAAAUAAAUAAUAACACAAAAUUAGUGUUCAAAGGGACAACACACCUCUACAAAAGGCAGCAAUAAGAGGUUGAUUUAGGUGGGUUAAAGAGAGAUUUUUGGGAAGCAAUGGGAUGGUUUAAAUGACUGAAAUAAAAAUGAAGUGGUUAGAAAAAUAGUAGCAAGAAUCGUCAAUCACAGACUAAAGGAGAAGUGAAUAAAAAAGAUCAAAAUGACACCACCACAAGUAGAAGGGAUUAGACGACAAUGGAGGUUAAAUUGGCAGCAAGGUGGAGCAAUUUUUGGUAACAAAAAAAUAGUAUAAUGGCUUGAAAAAUGGUAGCAAAACUGUAGGAAUAAAAGAGAAAAUGGAUGACACAAGGAAACUAAUGAAGAAAAAAAAUGAGAAAUAUUGAGAAAGGAAAGGGGUUAGGCAGCAAGACUAAGAAGAAAAAUGUGAAAUGGCUGUAUAAUGAAUGAAAAUUUUGUAUUUAAACCUAGAUUUUCUUACUCGUUUGGACGACACAACAUAGGGGAGUGGGAGAAAAAAUAGAAAAUUAAUUUAUUUGUUUGGGAACGGACUUGAACUUGG
rnacentral:lncRNA from 1 species